CAGAGUCGGCCACGACUGGACCUAAUGGUCAGGGGUCCCUUUACCUUUUUAUGACUGUAGUUGCUUGGGCUUGCAUCUGCUUGCUUCUCUGCGACAAUCAUUUGCAUUCCUUUGCACUUUGCGCAGGAAAAGAGACAAACUUUUGCUGCCAGCAGUUAAACUUCUCCCCCCAAAUGCAAAGUGACUUGAGCUCCAAAUCCUUGUUUCCAUAGCUGUUUCAUAUUCAUUUUAGCUGCAAGAAGGAGAGUUCAUCUUACUUUGAAAUGGAGCAUGUGUGGCUUCCAGUGAAGUGGAUGUUUCUUUUAUGCCGACGAGCCGUCACACGGCAAGUUCUCAAAACCUCUUCAUUGGGGAGGAAGAGGACUAGAUGAAUUUUUCUAUUGAAGCCGGGGUUUUGCCCUGGAGCUCCUUGUCAUUGUCGGCUUAGGAAACUGUCAAGCAACAGUGUUCGAUUGUGUCCCUAAGCAUGUGCAGAAUACAUUUCCCCUUGCUGCUGAAUAACUAUAGCUUUUCCUCAAGUUUAAUAUUAUGGGACAGGGUAGUAGUAUGUGGCUUCCAGAAAAGGCCUGGGAAUAAAAUACGCCUAAUACUUGCUUUUCUUUUGUUGGCAGGCUGUGAGUUUUUGCAGUGCAUUCAGUUCCGGGUAUUGAACACAGAUGCAAUAACUCCUGCGACAUAGUAAGCCGCUUGCUAUUGGCUAGAGGUACAAGAUGCAUAGGAAUCUGAUAAAUUUGCAUGCUUCCGUUUCAUGAUGAAUUUUUCAGAAGCCACUCUUGUGGUUGUGGAGCUGGAGAGGCUGCUCUGAGGACAAUGAGAGAGCCCACAUCCUCAGGCAUGGCCAGUGCAGAAGUGGGUGCUAGGGCUUCCUGUCAACUUGCAAAUAAAUCCAGAAAAGUUACUAGUCCUCAGCAUUUUAUUUUAUUUUUAAAAAACAAACCAUUGGCUAUAUAUACUAUUACCAGUCACUGAUGCCCUACAGCGGAAAAAAGGGAGUCAAAUUUUGAUUUUUAAAAAUAGAAGCCUCCUUCCUUGUCACAAGCAAGUUUAAAGACUUGUGUUAAAUAUAAUUUUUAUACCACAUAACACCUGUAAACAUUUCAAGUGUUCCGUGUGUUUCAUGUGCAGUAUCUGGAUGUUUUAAUGCUUGCAACAGCCUUGAGAGGUAAGUUAUUCUCCCCUAUUUUGCAGAUGGAAGGGGCAGGAUGAAGCAUGCAAGAAAGUAGCUUUGCCUAAGGCCACCCUAAUGAGUUCCUGGCAGAGGCGAGAUUCGAACCUGGAACUCCCCGAUUUGCAACUUCCUCUUCCAGCCAUUACACUACUCCAACUCAUUUUACUUUUACGUCAUGCGAUGCAGACUUGCACUCUUUAUCCUGAGGCUUUCUGCAUGUGCUCUAAAAACACUCAUUUUAUCAAUCACUUUCAUUCCUUCCAGGGCUGAGUGGGCAUUCUGCAAACCAUGUUCCAAAGCUUAGGGAGCCCCGUGCUCACAUUUAAACCCUGGAAAUAUACAGAUGUGUUGUGCUUUUAUGACGGAAAAACGGAAGGUCAAUGUGAUGCUAACAGAAAGGCAUUCGAGACGGAAGGGGGGAUAUUUGCUGGUCGGAAGCCAAAACUUGCAGGCGUCGGGAGACGCAGCUUCAGAAAGGCCGGUCUCUGUGUCCCUCAUCACCCCUUAUCUUCAGAACCGUUUUGCAAAGUCAGCUCAAUCCCUGGGCCAAAGAUGAAGGGCUGAAGGGGAUAGAGAAAAGAGAGGAAGAUCAUUGUGUCAAUAAGGAAGUAUGAUGGACCCUUUGGAAGAUCAGAAGGACACAUUGACAGUGUGGGGAGAGGCAAAACAGGAAAGCCCAGGCUAAAAGCACACGCAGAUGGCCACAACCGAGAGAAUUAAAGGAUCUGGAAAUUGUAGAUGGGCUUAACCUCGGUGGGAGUAAAUUACCUUGCACAAGAAUGAUAUGGAUGGUUGGAUGAAUACCUGGUUGGGCAGAAUCGUGAAAGCAAGGUCAGAAAAGUACAGCGUUGUGAUUAUCAUGUCCAGUUUAUAAUGGCCAGUCGGAACAAUCAGGAACUGCUAACACAGACAUCCUGGCGCCGGAUACAGAAGGAGAGACGGGGCGAAAAGGCAACACACACAACGGCUGCAAAGGAACCCAAAAUGAGACAGUAGACUCCCAUCGUUGGCCUUACUUGGACCCUCGAGGAGGCUGGUGAUUUUGAAAAACCCAUCGAGAUUGGUGGAAAGAGGAGUGACAACCCAGCACCAACAAGAGGAAUAGUCUAUGGAUUCUCAGUCUAGUCCCCAUCCUGCUCCCUUGGCCAAGUCCUAGAAGGGCGAAACUGAGACUGGGGAGGAAGGAGGUACAGAGCCACCCCCUGGAUUAGCUGAGGAGCUUCAUGAAGAUGGGAGGGAGAAAUGCCACACAACAACAAGCAAGGCAAGACUCAAAUCGCAUCACCCAUAAGAAAGCAGGAACGUCAUUACCGGUGCUGCAGAGUGGAAAUUUUUCCAGCGAUUCAUCUAACUUCACUGGUAACAGUGAUUGGAUGCCAAUUGGAAAUGCGAUAUUGGCUGUUUCAAAGGUGGCCGGUUUGGUUUUUUUGUAGCUUUGUUUAGUAAACACAAGUAAAAAUAAAUUUGCACAGGGA